GUACUCGGUGGUGGGCGGCAGAGUCGCACUGUCCUGCCGCGUCAGCUCGGCAUACCCCUGGAUCGCCGCCAGCGGGGUACGC
rnacentral:tRNA from 3 species